UACGGGGGGGGCAAGCGUUGUUCGGAAUUACUGGGCGUAAAGGGCUCGUAGGUGGCCAACUAAGUCAGACGUGAAAUCCCUCGGCUUAACCGGGGAACUGCGUCUGAUACUGGAUGGCUUGAGUUUGGGAGAGGGAUGCGGAAUUCCAGGUGUAGCGGUGAAAUGCGUAGAUAUCUGGAGGAACACCGGUGGCGAAGGCGGCAUCCUGGACCAACACUGACGCUGAGACGCGAAAGCGUGGGGAGCGAACAGG
rnacentral:rRNA from 1 species